UCUCUCUCUCGUUUAUCAUGCUUGUUAUUAUUCCCCUUUCGUGCACUGGAAAAUAUUGGAUUUGCAUGGGUAACAGGUACAUGGAGUCAUCAAAGAACGAUUAUGAAAGUGCCGCAUACACACCAACCACUUGGGUCUUGAUUGCUUCCAAAGGAACACACUAAAACGUCUGCUGAGUUGGCGCAGACGCUAUAUAAAGGCCUAAUCCGUGCGCCAGAGCGUUAGUCGGCCAGGACGGGAUUGGGUCCAAAACCCGCCGCCGAAGCUAAAUCUUCCAUACGCAGGGACUUGGUCAUCUUCGGGGGAUGAUUCUUGGGAAUAGUUCCCGCCAUCUUUGUGUGUUUGCAUUUUACAUGCCUCUUGACGGGUGGUGGAGGUGGUGGAGUUCAUCCCUGCCCAUUUCCCUUCCCUGUCUCAACCCGCUGGGCCGUCCGCACGCGGGACAAACGAACACAGGGGUCUUGCUCCAGCAUCGCAGGCGACAGGAAGAGGAACAGCACACAGUGACACCUCUCGAUAUCCCUUCGUAUGUCUACGCAGUUGCAGAUGCUUCUUUACUGGAUAAAAUUUCAUGCACAC
rnacentral:sRNA from 1 species